CCGAAUUAAUCAAACUGUUAUGACUUUGUACUCGUAUACCCAUCAUGCGAACGACAUUAUUGUUUACAUUAUUUGUGAACAAAAUGUACUUUGCUGCACGUAGAUGGUUUUCGUUACAAUGUUCCCGUAACUACAGUGAUUGUACAAAACAAGCAGUGCAUUUAUUGGUUGGCUGUUAAUGACGACUUUCUAAAAGGUUCCGCUAAAAACAGGCUCAGUACAAUACACUCCUUACAUCACGAAUGACAACAGAGAUUUCGGAUGGAUUUCUAAUGUGUAAAUUUGUUAAAUCUGCGCAGGCGAAUUGAUAUGUGUGCUGACUGAUGCCGAAUAAAACUAGAUUUAUACAACGACUGCAACGCAGUACGAGGAAACCGUCAUAUUUGGAUUGUUAUUAACAGCCGAAUCAUUCAUCCGAGCGAUCCAUGCUUUCGCUCAGCACCGCCGCCGUCAGCGUGGUCACCUUGCUGACGUCCAGACUGCCCAGAGUAGCCGACGUCCACUUCCGGUUGCGUUGAAGAGCGCACAAAAAGGAAAUGCCAAGGUGAAGGUACAAUACUAGGCAGCUUCCAGGCAUGUGCACCCGGUACAGAACACCAAAUUGAUGUACUCGUACAAUCAGUACAAGCACACAAACGUUUGUUUUUACAGACUACUUUGCAUUGUUCAGUCACAUUUUAUAACCAAGUGACUGGAAAGUGGAAACAUUCGCGUUUAAAGUUUAAAUGCAUUCAGGUGUACCAAAAGUCUCAUCAUGGGCCAAACGUUUCUUGCUUUUACACCCAGUCAGCGUUCCACCAGUUUUUUCAAGUCUAAAUUUCUAACAUCGCCCAAAAGGUUUCCUUUUCUCUGAAAUAUUAGGUCUGCGUUCGACCGUUGUAUUUGUUGAGUUUAAAUCGAGAACAUUUUGCGUUAAUUAAUAAUUUUUUGCACCACCAAAUGCUGACCUCGAUAAUCCACUUGAUGUCCUUGGUUCGCUGCUGCGCAACGCAGUCGGCAACCCAAGCCGCCAGUGCCGUCCGGUACAGCGGUUUCUUCAGGACGAGAUUCUGCUCCACCAGCUCCCACAGCUCCUCCUGGCGCUCCCCUUCCGUCUGGCCGCGGACGGCAUGGUGCGCGAUCGCCGCUGUAAUGUUCUCAUCCCCCAAGCGACACUGUCGCCACAGGAUGCGGCCGCGCGACCCAUCCGGCACGACCUGUUGAGCCAUGCAGUGGACAGCACUGUCCACAUAGCCGUGCUCUUCGCUGAAAUUGCACUUGUACAACACCACCACUGACAAGUUGCCCGCACGUUGGAACAUGCCCCAAAUCAGGGACAUUUUGUAAUGGACCGAAGCGAAGCGGAGAUGCUCUAUGCUCAAGAAAACGUGGCUUUCGUCGGUGGCGAAAGACUAAGAAUAUUAAUAACCGUCGGUUCGAAUCACAAGUGGGAUUCGUGCACAAUUGAAAUUUGACUCCUUGGAACGGAAAUUGUGGCUAAGUCUUACACCGUCAAAAAUCGAUGGCACAUUUUUUCGGGUCCAAAAACUGAUUUUUCUCAAAACCAACUUCAGGUCCAGUUUUCUCGCUUCACUUUCAGUACUAACCAACCUUGAACUAGCGCCUCGGGGUUUUGUCUGUUCAUUGAAUAAACGAAACUUACCGCUAUUUUCGUGGCGCUAUUGAAACUUUUCAGCACAGAGACAGUUAUCCAGUACAGUGAAUGAUCGUAAUGUAGCACCCCGUCGUAAUCCGCUGGCGUGUUGGAGACGCGCACCUCGGGGAAGUAGGCGUCGGUGGUGAGGAGAGCGUUCCACACGUCACACACCCGCCGACACCGGAAGCGCCCGAUGGAGUCCAGGGCGCGGAAGACCUCCAGCAGUAGCUCCACCGGCAGCGGCAGACUCCCGGGCUGGCUGCCGGGAAUCUUUCGUUUUCGCUGCGGAGCGCUCUCGGCCUCCUGCUGGCGCAGCAACCAUUUCCAGGUUAUGGUGGUGCGACCCAGCUCGUCGUUGUGCUUCACGGUGUUCUUAUACUCGUCCUCCUGCAUCAACGAACAUCCAUUUAAAUAUUGAUCGUUUAAACGUAUAUACAGUAAGUAAAUUUUACGCGAGGGAAC